ACCUCAUCCAGAGGGGCUGAGGGAUACGGCCCGACGACGCCCCGGCAACCACCCCACGCGCUCAUCGCUGAGCGUCCCGUGGGGCAGGUGCCAAUUCCGUCCCCGCCGCAGGGUGCGAUGUGGGGAAAGAUGAGAG
rfam:Micromonospora rifamycinica strain AM105 contig031, whole genome shotgun sequence.